UACGUAGGGGGCAAGCGUUGUCCGGAAUUAUUGGGCGUAAAGAGCUCGUAGGCGGUUUGUUGCGUCGGCUGUGAAAUCCCGAGGCUCAACCUCGGGUCUGCAGUCGAUACGAGCAAACUAGAGUGUUGCAGGGGAGACUGGAAUUCCUGGUGUAGCGGUGAAAUGCGUAGAGAUCAGGCGGAACACCCGUGGCGAAGGCGGCCAGCUGGGCCGUCCCUGACGCUGAGGAGGCGAAAAGCGUGGGUAGCAAACAGGG
rnacentral:rRNA from 1 species